CUCCGGGUUGAUCCCGCCGGACCUGACUGCUAUCGGAUUGGUACUAAGCCAUGCGAGUCAUUGUAGCAAUACAAGGCGGACGGCUCAGUAACACGUAGUCAACCUAACUCGUGGACACGGAUAACCUCGGGAAACUGAGAAUAAACCGCGAUAGAUCAUUAUGCCUGGAAUGGCUUAUGGUCCAAACAGUUUACUGCCAUGGGAUGGGACUGCGGCCUAUCAGCUUGUUGGUGAGGUAAUGGCCCACCAAGGCUAUAACAGGUACGGGCUCUGAGAGGAGAAGCCCGGAGAUGGGUACUGAGACACGGACCCAGGCCCUAUGGGGCGCAGCAGGCGAGAAACCUUAGCAAUGUGCGAAAGCACGACUGGGUCAGUCCGAGUGAUUCCUGAUAAAGGAGUCUUUUAUCUGUCCUAAAAGCACAGGUGAAUAAGGGGUGGGCAAGUCUGGUGUCAGCCGCCGCGGUAAUACCAGCACCUCGAGUGGUCAGGACGUUUAUUGGGCCUAAAGCAUCCGUAGCCGGCUUUGCAAGUCUCCGGUUAAAUCCACCUGCUCAACAGAUGGGCUGCUGGAGAUACUACAAAGCUAGGGAGUGGGAGAGGCAGACGGUAUUCAGUGGGUAGGGGUAAAAUCCUCUGAUCCAUCGAGGACCACCAGUGGCGAAGGCGGUCUGCCAGAACACGUUCGACGGUGAGGGAUGAAAGCUGGGGGAGCAAACCGGAUUAGAUACCCGGGUAGUCCCAGCUGUAAACGAUGCAAACUCGGUGAUGCAUUGGCUUAUGGCCAAUGCAGUGCCGCAGGGAAGCCGUUAAGUUUGCCGCCUGGGAAGUACGGACGCAAGUCUGAAACUUAAAGGAAUUGGCGGGGGAGCA
rnacentral:rRNA from 1 species